rnacentral:siRNA from 1 species
CCUUAUGAGUUGGUGUCUUGC